rnacentral:misc_RNA from 1 species
CUGUUCGAGCGUCAUUAUAACCCCUCAAGCUCAGCUUGGUGUUGGGGCCUGCCAUCUGGCAGCCCUUAAAAUCAGUGGCGGUGCAUCUGGCUCUAAGCGUAGUAAUUUUUUCUCGCUACAGAGUUCUGAUGGAUGCUUGCCAUUAACCCCCAAUUUUUAUGGUUGACCUCGGAUCAGGUAGGGAUACCCGCUGAACUUAA